rfam:Phaethon lepturus contig65798, whole genome shotgun sequence.
AGCUAGGCUUUUUUAAAAGCCAAUAACAUUUCGAACUACUAUUUG